rnacentral:SRP_RNA from 1 species
GCCAAGCGUGGUGGUGCGCGCCUGUAGUCCUAGCUACUCAGGAGGCUGAGGCAGGAGGAUCACUGGAGCCCAGGAGUUUGAGGCUGCAGUGAGCUAGGAUCAUGCCACUGCACCCCAGCCUGGGCGACAGAGCAAAACCCUGCCUCUA